AGACGAACCGGGCGAACGUUAUUCGGAAUCACUGGGCUUAAAGCGUGCGUAGGCGGCUUGGCAAGUUGGGUGUGAAAGCCCUCGGCUCAACCGAGGAACUGCGCCCAAAACUGCCAGGCUUGAGGGAGAUAGAGGUGAGUGGAACUAAUGGUGGAGCGGUGAAAUGCUUUGAUAUCAUUAGGAACACCGGUGGCGAAAGCGGCUCACUGGGUCUCUUCUGACGCUGAGGCACGAAAGCUAGGGGAGCAAACAGGAUUAGAUACCCUAGUAGUCC
rnacentral:rRNA from 1 species